GCUGCUUCCGGCGCCAUAACUGCUGCCAUCUUUACGCUAUGGCUGCGUUCAGCCGUCAGGUCCUUGAUGUGCACCGCCUGGUCCCUCUCACCUGGGCCUGUAUGGCUAGGCAGACUCCUCAUCUUGGAGAAAAGAGAAGGACGACAGCUUCUUUGUUGCGCAAACUGACUACAGCCUCCAAUGGAGGGGUCACCGAGGAGUUAUCUUGUGUUAGAUCCAAUAACUAUGUGCAGGAACCAGAGUGCAGGAGGAAUCUUGUUCAGUGCCUCCUUGAGAAGCAGGGGACUCCUGUGGAACAAAGGUCCUUGGAGUUAGAGAGGGUCAUCACUUCCCUCCUGGACAUGGGUUUCAGCAAUGCCCAUAUUAAUGAAUUGCUCAGUGUACGGCGAGGUGCCAGUCCUCAACAGUUCCUGGACAUCAUUUCAGAAUUUAUUCUCUUGGGUCUGAAUCCAGAGCCUGUGUGUGUGGUCUUGAAGAAAAGUCCCCAGUUAUUGAAACUGCCAAUUAUGCAAAUGAGGAAGCGCUCCAGUUACCUGCGAAAGCUUGGGCUUGAAGAAGGUACAAGAAGUUGCAGAUUUUGGCUGGGUGCGGUGGCUUAUGCCUGUAAUCCCAGUUGUUUGGGAGGCCGAGGCAGGCAGAUCACUUGAGGUCAGGGGUUCAAGAUCAGCCUGGCCAAUAUGGUGAAACACUGACUCAACUAAAAAUAGAAAAAUUAGCCAGGCGUGGUGGCACGCGCCUGUAAUUCCAGCUACUUGGGGGGUUGAGGCAUGAGAAUCGCUUGAACCC
rnacentral:sRNA from 1 species